rnacentral:misc_RNA from 1 species
GGCAAAAUUUUGCUCCAAUUUUAUAAAUUCAAAU